rnacentral:rRNA from 1 species
UACAGAGGUCUCAAGCGUUGUUCGGAUUCAUUGGGCGUAAAGGGUGCGUAGGCGGCGGGGCAAGUCGGAUGUGAAAUCUCAGGGCUCAACCCUGAAACUGCAUUCGAUACUGCCUUGCUCGAGGACUGGAGAGGAGAUUGGAAUUCACGGUGUAGCAGUGAAAUGCGUAGAUAUCGUGAGGAAGAACAGUGGCGAAGGCGGAUCUCUGGACAGUUCCUGACGCUGAGGCACGAAGGCCAGGGGAGCAAACGGG